GAUGAACGCUGGCGGCGUGCCUAAUACAUGCAAGUCGAGCGAACAGACGAGGAGCUUGCUCCUCUGACGUUAGCGGCGGACGGGUGAGUAACACGUGGAUAACCUACCUAUAAGACUGGGAUAACUUCGGGAAACCGGAGCUAAUACCGGAUAAUAUAUUGAACCGCAUGGUUCAAUAGUGAAAGACGGUUUUGCUGUCACUUAUAGAUGGUUCCGCGUCGCAUUAGCUAGUUGGUAAGGUAACGGCUUACCAAGGCAACGAUGCGUAGCCGACCUGAGAGGGUGAUCGGCCACACUGGAACUGAGACACGGUCCAGACUCCUACGGGAGGCAGCAGUAGGGAAUCUUCCGCAAUGGGCGAAAGCCUGACGGAGCAACGCCGCGUGAGUGAUGAAGGUCUUCGGAUCGUAAAACUCUGUUAUUAGGGAAGAACAAAUGUGUAAGUAACUAUGCACGUCUUGACGGUACCUAAUCAGAAAGCCACGGCUAACUACGUG
rnacentral:rRNA from 1 species